UACAGAGGGUGCGAGCGUUGUCCGGAAUCACUGGGCGUAAAGGGCGCGUAGGUGGUGGCUUAAGCGUGCGGUGAAAGCUCGGGGCUCAACUCCGAGUCGGCCGUGCGAACUGGGCUCACUGGAGCAUAGUAGAGGCAGGUGGAAUUCCGGGUGUAGCGGUGGAAUGCGUAGAGAUCCGGAAGAACACCGGUGGCGAAGGCGGCCUGCUGGGCUAUGGUUGACACUGAGGCGCGACAGCGUGGGGAGCAAACAGG
rnacentral:rRNA from 1 species